rnacentral:rRNA from 1 species
AGNCGAGCGGCAGCGGNUCCUUCGGGAUGCCGGCGAGCGGCGNACGGNUGAGUAAUGCCUAGGAAUCUGCCUGGUAGUGGGGGAUAACUCGGGGAAACUCGAGCUAAUACCGCAUACGUCCUACGGGAGAAAGCGGGGGAUCUUCGGACCUCGCGCUACCAGAUGAGCCUAGGUCGGAUUAGCUAGUUGGUGAGGUAAAGGCUCACCAAGGCGACGAUCCGUAGCUGGUCUGAGAGGAUGAUCAGCCACACUGGAACUGAGACACGGUCCAGACUCCUACGGGAGGCAGCAGUGGGGAAUAUUGGACAAUGGGCGAAAGCCUGAUCCAGCCAUGCCGCGUGUGUGAAGAAGGUCUUCGGAUUGUAAAGCACUUUAAGUUGGGAGGAAGGGCAGUAAGCUAAUACCUUGCUGUUUUGACGUUACCGACAGAAUAAGCACCGGCUAACUUCGUGCCAGCAGCCGCGGUAAUACGAAGGGUGC